rnacentral:lncRNA from 1 species
AAAAAGAACAAAUCUUUAGAACAUUACUCAAUAUCCGCAAAGAAAAAACAAUGCAAAACAACAAAAUGAAGAAAACAAACAAUCAGAACUGUAAUUAGCUUAGUCCGAACAAAUUACACUGGCUGAGAGAAAGAGACAUGGAAGCAGAGAAAUGGGGAGGUAGGUAUGGAAAAAAGAACAAAUCCUUAGAACAUUGAAUCAAGACCCACAAGAACAAAUCAAUGCAUAACAACAAAAUGAAGAAAACAAGCAAUUUAGAACUAUAAUUAGCUUUGUAUGUACCUAUUUCUUUGACAGAGAAAGAGAUGUGGAAGCAGAGAAAGACUAGGUAGAUAGGGGAAAAAACAAAUCUUUAGAAAAUUGAUUCAAGACCCACAAAGAAUAACACAAUGCAAAACAAGAAAAUGGAGAAAACAAUCAAUUAUAACUGUAAUUAGCUUAGUCUGUACCUAUUACACUGACAGAGAGAUAGAGACUUGUAAGCAGAGAAAUAAGGAUAACAGACUAGGUGGGUAUGGAAAUAAAAAACAGAUCUUUUUCACAUUGAUUCAAGACUCGCAAGGAAUGAAACAAUGCAAAACAAGAAAAUGAAGAAAAACAAACAAUUUAAACUAUAUGGAAGUAGAGAAUUACACUGACAGAUAGAUAGAGAUGUGCAAGCAAAGAAUUACACUGACAGAUAGAUAGAGAUCUGGAAGCAGAGAACUACACUGACGAAUAAAUAGACGUGGAAGCAGAGAAUUACACUGACAGAUAAAUAGAGAUGUGGAAGCAGAGAAUUACACUAACAGAGAGAUAAAGAUGUGGAAGCAGAGAAAUGGGGAUGAAAGACAGGGUGGGUAUGGAAUAAAAAUCAAAUCUUUAGAACAUUGAAUCAAGACCCACAAAGAACAUCUCAACACAUAACAACAACAUGAAAGAAAACAGGCAAUUAGAACUGUAAUUAGCUUACAAAUUACUACUUCAACAGAGAAAUGGGGAUGAAAGACAAGGUGGGUAUGGAAAAAAAACAAAUCUUUAGAACAUUGAUUCAAAUCCCACAAAGCAUAACAAGAAAGUGAAGAAAACAAGGAAUUAGAACUCUGAGUAGCUUACCAAAUUACUACUUCAACAGAGAAAUGGGGAUGAAAGACAAGAUGAGUUUAAAAAAAAAAUCUUUAGAACAUUGAUUCAAAACCCACAAAGAAUAAAGCACUGAUAACAAGAAAGUGAAGAAAACAGGCAAUUAGAACUGUAAUUAGCUUACCAAUUACUACUUCAACAGAGAAAUGGGGAUGAAAGACCAGAUGGGUAUGGAAAAAAACAAAUCUUUAGAAUAUUGAUUCAAAACCCACAAAGAAUAAAGCAGAGCAUAACAAGAAAGUGAAGAAAACAAGGACUUAGAAGUGUAAUUAGCUUACUAAUCACUACUUUGACAGAUAAAUGGGGAUGAAAGACAAGAUGGGUAUGGAAAAAAACAAAUCUUUAGAGCAAUGAAUCAAGACCCACAAACAACAUCUCAAUGCAACAUGAAAGAAAACAGGCAAUUAGAACUGUAAUUAGCUUACAAAUCACUACUUCAACAGAGAAAUGGGGAUGAAAGACAAGGUGGGUAUGGAAAAAAAAAACAAAUCUUUAGAACAUUGAUUCAAAUCCCACAAAGCAUAACAACAACAUGAAAGAAAACAGGCAAUUAGAACUGUAAUUAGCUUACAAAUCACUACUUCAACAGAGAAAUGGGGAUGAAAGACAAGGUGGGUAUGAAAAAAAAAAACAAAUCUUUAGAACAUUGAUUCAAAUCCCACAAAGCAUAACAACAACAUGAAAGAAAACAGGCAAUUACAACUGUAAUUAGCUUACAAAUCACUACUUCAACAGAGAAAUGGGGAUGAAAGGCAAGAUGGGUAUGGAAAAAAAAAACAAAUCUUUAGAACAUUGAUUCAAAUCCCACAAAGCAUAACAACAACAUGAAAGAAAACAGGCAAUUAGAACUGUAAUUAGCUUACAAAUCACUACUUUCAACAGAGGAAUGGGGAUGAAAGACAAGAUGGGUAUGGAAAAAAAACAAAUCUUUAGAACAUUGAUUCAAAACCCACAAAGAAUAUAGCAGUGCACAUAACAAGAAACUGAAGAAAACAAGGAACAAGAAGUGUAAUCAGC